GUCUAUAGCCAUACCACCCUGAACAUGUCUGAUCCCAGAAGCUAAGCAGGGUCAGGCCUGGUUAGUACUUGGAUGGGAGACCACCUGGGAAUACCGGGUGCUGUAGGCU